rnacentral:lncRNA from 1 species
CUUUAAAGUGAUGAGAAGGGGCAAACAUUUCCCUCUAUGACUUUGCCAGGCCCCAGAAAUGAGGUUUCUACCUGAGCCUUAAAUCCACGGCCCGUUGUGGCACUACCCACCUGGAGCCUCCAGGCUACCAGCCCAUCCCCAGCCGGCCCCGCCCCGCACCCUACCGACCAAUCCGAGGCUCCGAUCCAGGAGCGCCCAAUGACGGCUUCGCAGCCCCGCCCAUGGUGUUCCCAUGGUGACAGUAGGUAGCCAGUGUGUAUAGAGAAGCUCACUUUCCGGAGAGCAGGCAACCUCAGGCAGGGAGACCCGGUGAGCGGCUGACACUGCGGGGAAAACAGUUUCUUCAGAGGGCCCCUCACCUCCCCCGCAUCCCUCCUUGUUGUUUUCUCCCCACAGAGCACCAAGUAUGGACCAGUGUCUCACUAUGUGCAGAUGUAGAGAACCCUGGUGGGUUACAGCGCAUUGACCAGCGCAUUUACAAUGCCGCCACCAUGUGAGCAGCAUGUCAUUAUUCCCGCAAGCUGUCGACGUUGUUGAACACCUCAGGCAGGCCGAUCAUUACUGUAUUAGCUGGUGAUUGGAACAACCGAAACAAUCCAACAGGUGUGGUUUAUUCUCUGAAGUCUUCAAAGUUCUGGCAGCUGUGAAACUGAAAUAGAAUCUCUUGGUCUGUUUUCUGGGUAAGGAAGCUAAGAACAUAUGAAAAAAAUUUCAUUGUCUUUAUAGAUUUUUUUCAAUUUUUUAUGCAUAUAUGUGUAUGUGAAUGCCUCUGGCAUUUAAUGGUCAGUAAUUGCUUUGGGCAAAAGCUUAUCAGAGCUCCUUGUGAACUUUCAAGUCGUUCCCUUUGAGUUCUUCAG